UGGACGACGCUGGCGGCGUGGAUUAGGCAUGCAAGUCGAACGGUAUCAUCCUUUCGGGGGUGAGAGAGUGGCGAACUGGUGAAGUAACACGUAGGUUAUCUACCCUCAAGACGGGGACAACCCAGGGAAACUUGGGCUAAUACCGGAUGAGAGUGCGAGAGAUUGCAUUUAAAAGGAUGGCGAAAGUUGUCGCUUAGGGAUGAGCCUGCGGUCUAUUAGUUAGUUGGUGAGGUAAGAGCUCACCAAGGCGAUGAUAGAUAGGCGGCCUUAACGGGUGGUCGCCCACACUGGGAUUGAGAUACGGCCCAGACUCCUACGGGAGGCAGCAGUCGAGAAUAGUCUACAAUGGCCGGAAGGCUGAUAGUGCGACGCCGCGUGAACGAGGGAGCCCUUCGGGGUGUAAAGUUCUUUUCUAUACGAGCAGUGCUAUAUAUAUGGAUAGUAUAUAUAGAGGGAUAGUAGUAUAGGAAUAAGCAACGGCUAACUCCGUG
rnacentral:rRNA from 1 species